CGUGAGUUGAGUCGCCAUUUUGACUUUGUGGGUGUGGUAACCUGUGAAAACCAUUUCCGCAGGUUGAGUCGCCAUUCUUUGCGUCCUUUGUACGUUUAGAAGUUGUCUCCGCUAGUCAGCAAGUAGUUGUUUCGGGAUUAGACAAAUUUACAGACUGUCAAACAAGAUCGAAUCUUUUCCUACGAAAGCUGAAUAAUAUUACGAACAAAUAGCUACAAUAGGAUCCAGUUAAAGCUUCACGGACGAUAAUCUGAGCGGGAAUACAUUGGUGGUGUCCCUCAUCAAAAGCUAAAAAUGAUCACCAGACGAAGAGGUCGUUCAGACAUCACCAAUGUGGAGGUGCACUCUUCAACUUGUCCUUUUGACGUUGAAGUCACUGACUUUGUUGAAAUGAUAGAAAAUGUUAAAACGAGUCCCUCUGAAGAAAUUAGGUCAGAGAAUGGGGAUAGUACAGUUGGAUUAGAGCUGGAUGAUUUAUUUGGAAUUGACGAGUUAAACUGGACAUUUGAGAAGGAUGCAGUCUCCCCUCUUUUCGACAUUGGGUUGACCGAAAUAGGUGUGGGUGACACAACAGAUCAAGAUUUUUGGAUUGGCACGUCCAGGACCCCAUCGCCCGAAGGAGUGUUUGCUGUUCAGAAAAGGAAGGGGAGAGAUGACCCGUCUGGGCACAUGAUCAACAAAAACGCUGUCGCUGCGCGAAUUAAUCGUCUGAAAAAGAAGGAAUACGUGAACGGGCUGGAAAAUAAAGUUGGGUCUCUGUCGUCAGAAAACCGCAUACUCAAACAGGAAAACGUCCAAUUGAAUAAGAGGGUAGAAGAGUUGGAAGAUGAGACGAGGUACCUGAGAGCUGUGUUGGCCAACGAGAGCAUGUUAGCCCAGCUGUUGUCAAGGCUGAGCGGUGUGAACGGCAUGAAAUUAUCUUCCUCGCUUUUCCAGGGGUCCAACAAGAAUGACGACCACGAUUAUGCCUUGCCGCGGAAACGUGUGAAGGUGGAGGAAAAGGAGACUUCUGGUGGCGUCUGUCUGCACGUGGACAAGAACAACGUCUCAGUGGAGUUCUGCACUAAGUGUGCAGAGAGUGCAAGCGCAUCACUCAAAAUGUAGGGUCAAGUACUUGUAUCUGUUUUCAGAUGUUGAGACUGAACCUGAUUAACUUCAGUGUAAUGAACGUCAGGGGAAUCUAUGAACACUGUUAAAACUAUUUGAGAUCAAUACUUAAUUAAGAAAUGUUGAAUGAUUGAGCAUGUGUAAAAAAUCUUACCAAUGAUUUAAGUACACGUUACUCGUUAAACCUUGUUGCCAGUUUUCUUCUAGGUGAUGAUUGUUCUACCAUGCUGGAUGAAUGGGUUACAGAACGUCCCUGUCUGCUUGGCUCCAUGGUAAGGAUCUCAGAUGAAGAAAAGCUGAUGAUUUGAUAAAUUCUAAGUGGAUUCUGCUGUUCGGGAAGCUGAAGAGGCGGGACCCGCUGCUGCCAACUUGGCCUGGUAUUUUUUUAAAGGUAGUAUAACAAAGGGUGUAAGUGACUACAUUCAACCAGUAUCCCAUAACACCUUCUUUGUAAAAAAGUAGUGAAUUUAGAAUAUAUUAUGGAUGACAAGUGUUCCACUACCUAUUACAUUGACAAUAUUAGAGGUCCUAUUACAGUUUGUUCACAAGUUUAACCUGACUUGUUGACACAUUGGUAUGUAACCCAGUUGUUUAAAAAAAAAAACUAGUCAAACUAUCUUGUUAUCGAUGUGAUCCUGAUAGAAAUGGACAUCACCAAUUUUGUAUAAAGUGACAAUCUUAACGAAUGUUAUGUAAAGUACAAAGAUGUGGCAACUUUUUUUUCUAAAUGAGAGAACAAUGUUUCAGGAACAUGGAUAUGAUUGAAAAUAAAUCUUAUUUUGAUUAUACA